ensembl:lncRNA
GGAAGCUGAGUGCCAAAGAAUUAAUGCUUUUGAACUAUGGUGUUUGAGAUGACUCUUGAGAGUCCCUUAGACAGAAAGGAGAUCCAACCAGUCCAUCCUAAAGGAAAUCAGUCCUGAAUAUUCAUUGGAAGGACUGAUGCUGAAGUUGAAACUGCAAUGCUUUGGCCACCCGAUACGAAGAGCUGACUCAUUAGAAAAAACCCUGGUACAGGAAAAGACUGAAGACAAGAGGAGAAGAAGAUGACAGAGGAUGAGACGGUUGGAUGGCAUCACCGACUUGAUGGACUUGAGUUUGAGAAAGCUCUGGGAAUCGGUGAUGGACAAGGGAAUGUGGCGUGCUGAAGUCCAUGGGGUCACAAAGAGCCAGACAUGACUGAGCGACUGAACUGAACUGAUCUGAAGUAAUUUUACUUUGAUGGGUCAAGAGAAAGAACUGCAGAGUCUGGCUCAACAAUCUAGAAGGGUCAUUUGUUUCCAUUGGGAGGAAGAAAAUAUAAGUACCUUACAGGCAACCAGAAUCCUCAGCUAAUGUUGUACCUCUUGGCUCAAAGACACAUUUACAUCCUGAUAUAGACUCUCUCUAUUUUCCUCUGACACCAUAAGAGAACCAUACUUGAGGGAAUAUUUCAAGGUAAGUUAUUGCCAGAAAUGUAACAGCACAAGGGAAAACACUGUAUUUCUUUGCCACUCUAUCAUUUAAUGGUACAUUUCCCAGCUACUUCACCUAGCUCCCUGUGUGGGUCAGAGAGUGUCGCCUCUCUGUGGAUGUUUACCUUGGCCUGAUCUUGCUUCUCUAAUUUUCUUCAUCCUCCCUAACCUUACUGUGGCAGGAGGCCCCUUAAUAUUCAGGAAACCAGACAGAAUUAAACUUUGUAUGAAAGUGAGUCGGGGAAGACAGCAUUGCCUGUAUGGACAAGGAAAAUUAAAAGAUUCAGAACAUAACUAAAAUAACUACAAAAAUUCACAGAUCACUGUUUCACAUCUCAAGUCUCAAUCUUCAUAGAAAUCACCGGACAAUCUUGUAAAACGCAGACUUGGAUAAGGAUUCAGUAUCCUGAGUUAUAGUAUGGAUUAAAUUAUCAUGAAAGAUUCUUUCAGGCUAUGGUAUUCUGAUUGGUAAGUGGUCAAGAAGUUAAUGUCUUUUUUUUUUACAAUGAAAGAUGGCUCCAUGAUUUAUUUAUUCUUUACCUGCCAUGUCAUCCUUCAUUCCCUGACAUGCAGAAACUUCAUUAAUAUUGAGAAUAUAUAUCUGGAUAGGCUUUCAAGUAGCAGUGAAUACCAAAUCUACUUUGAAACUUCUAUUGCAUUCAGUUAAAACAUUAAUGCUUAUCUCACAGAUCUAUCAACAGGACCAUUUCCUUAUACUUUUUACAUGACUGUUUUUCAGCAGUUGGAGCAAUAAGCAUCUCUAUAUAUUUUUUUAAAGUUUCAAAUAUUCCACAUAAAUCUUCACAAAAUAUAAUUCUAAAACUCAGAAACCACAAAUAUAUGAAAGCCAUGUUAACCAUUUUUUACUAGAUUGAUCUACUUUCUCAGAUUCAUCUUUGUUUUUUGAGCACAUAUGUUAAACCAAUUUAUUUCUAUGUAGCUUCCUACUUAGUGUGAUUAGGAGACACACCUAUGCCUAGCAUAAAUAGUAGAUGACUGUAAAAACAUUUGAAGUGUUAUUUGUCCUGUCUAGUAUGAAUGCUUUGUACGUAUCUAUAUAUUUGAACUAAGAGCCCUUUUGUUUACUCAAUAAUAUGUGUAAACAGAUAAUUUGUAAGUAAUUAUUUCUUUCCAGUUACUCAACUUUCAGAGAUGAAGAAAGUAGAAUUGAAUGAAGAUCUGAGGCCAUUAUAUCAUAGUAAGCAGAAAAGUUGUCGUUUUUCAAAUGUUUCCCUAAAUUGAAUGAGCUAGAAGUUCAUAGAGGGUACAAGAAAUCAUGUACUCACAUGGAAACACCUGCAUGGAAGCUAUAUUGGGAGAAGGGCUGGGAACAAGGAACCAAAAUAGAUGAUGGACUUUGGGGCAAGUUUGCCACGUGUGUGUGUGUGUGUGUGUGUGUGUGUGUGUGUGUGUGUGUGUGUGUGUGUGCCACAUAACAUCCCUCAAACAACACUGUAUGGCGUUUUGGCACCUUGCAUUUCAUGAGAUUCUGAAGGUGCAUGAGAAGAGAUACAAGACUGGCAGAACAUAUAGGCAAUGUUCAGAGUAUCAAGAAGCCUUAUUCUAGAAUUAGAUCAUCUGCCACUUGAGAAAUUAGCCUGCUAGUGCAGUUUUUCUUUCGCUGGUUUCCUUCUCCAUAAAUAUGUGGAUGAGAAGUUUUUCGAUCUCACAGAAACACAUGGUUAAAAUAGAUAGUGUACUUGAAAGUGCUUUCCAAAUGUAUCAAUUAGUUUACAGUUCUGCAGUAUCAUUGUUGAUAAUUAAAUGAAGAUGACCAAAAUAAACUGGAAAUUUAACAUGUGGUAGCCAUAAUGCAAAUUCCUCAAAUGUACUACUUACUCUAUAAUGAGCAAUAACUCUAUAAAAUACUGAUGGAUAUUCUUUUAGCUUCACUUUACAAGUCAGAAUACAGGCUUAUCCAUGCUCCUAGAGAAAAUCAAAGAGAGCUAGAAUUCAUACCUAGGAUGGAUGACACACAAAAUCACUUUCUGAGCAUCUAGUAAGUACCAG